rnacentral:rRNA from 1 species
GAUGAACGCUGGCGGCGUGCCUAAUACAUGCAAGUCGAGCGAACGGACGAGAAGCUUGCUUCUCUGAUGUUAGCGGCGGACGGGUGAGUAACACGUGGAUAACCUACCUAUAAGACUGGGAUAACUUCGGGAAACCGGAGCUAAUACCGGAUAAUAUUUUGAACCGCAUGGUUCAAAAGUGAAAGACGGUCUUGCUGUCACUUAUAGAUGGAUCCGCGCUGCAUUAGCUAGUUGGUAAGGUAACGGCUUACCAAGGCAACGAUGCAUAGCCGACCUGAGAGGGUGAUCGGCCACACUGGAACUGAGACACGGUCCAGACCCCUACGGGAGGCAGCAGUAGGGAAUCUUCCGCAAUGGGCGAAAGCCUGACGGAGCAACGCCGCGUGAGUGAUGAAGGUCUUCGGAUCGUAAAACUCUGUUAUUAGGGAAGAACAUAUGUGUAAGUAACUGUGCACAUCUUGACGGUACCCAAUCAGAAAGCCACGGCUAACUACGUG